ensembl:lncRNA
AUGCAGAAAAGAACUACCCAGAAUUCCAUAGAGGAUCCGCUUUUUGCAACAGACUCUCCAUGUCCAAUGACAGUUAGUCCCAUAUCUUCUAGCCUCGCACAUUCUCCGCACAACCCUCCAUGCCAGGUAGAACUUUGUCGGCAAGGGCUGGCAGAACCUGUUCAAAGCCCACCAUCACACAGGUCUGUGCACGGCGACUCUACACAGAUCUGCUCAAAGUCUACUCUGCCAGUAAGAAGAAACCCAUCACUGAGGCCUAUUUCAGCUCCAUGUAGCCCUUUUCCGUCUCCACUCAGAGUCACCAUGUGUAGUGCGUCACUGCCCACCAGCCCAGUACAGGUCAACUCUUUUAAGCCUUUCCAUCUUAGCCUUCUACCUGCUCAGCCUGCUACACAGUCAAGAGUCACAAAAGAAUGCACCCAAACCAGUACCGCAGAACUUAAGUCUUUGGAGCUGAGUCCUAACCUUGAUUGCCUAACACUGGAAAGUAGCCCAACCUCUGACUUAUCCAUAAUGCCCCUAGUUGUCCACGGUACAGAUAUUGAACUCGCAAACCAGCUUGCUUGUCUUCAAAGUAGCAUACAUAGCUCGGACCAUUCUAGCCCUCAUCUUCGUUCUACCAUGCCCUCAUCAGGGAGCCUAGUUCACAUCAGCAGUUCAAUGGAACACAAUUGCCUAACUUUACCACCUUGUGCUCAUGACAGCCCACCAUGCUGCACAGAAGCUAUUGAAGAUAAAGCCAUCACAAUGCAAAGUAGCAUAGCUAGUGCUAGCCACAAACGUAUUAGUCAAACAAGCCCUGUCUGCUCUAAUCAGACCUCUCAUAGUCCCAUGAGAUGGAAGACUACAGAGACUAUACCCUCAACACAACCAGCUAGUCCUGGAACGCUUAAUGCUUGCUACUCCACUCAAACAAUGGACCCCUUGGCGCCACCUCUUAGGUCCUCAACACAACUAGCUAGCCCCUCAGCAGUACUAGCCAUCCUCCCCAUUUCAUGUCAAGACAAGAAUAUGGUAGAUGUCGACCAUAACAAGCAUUUCUUUCAGUCAGAAACUAGUCCUGUCCAUACUAACUCUUUUUAUACUAGCCCUGCUCGUGUUUGCCCAGUCAGCGCAGAAGCCAACAGUUUAAUGGACCCCAGACAUUUUCAAGAGAGAACUGAUCCCUUGAAUGUCCAAACUAUCUGCAGUCCUUCUUCUCAAACUCUGGCCCGGUCCAAAAGUUGGACUCCCUCAUUAGCUAGCCUGACGUCCAGCAGCCCAGCACAUGCUACUGUAUCAUUUGUUGGCCCGCCUCAGAGUCCAGCUCAGGCAAGCGAAACCUAUCACAGCCCCACAAGUAGCCAGCAUCACAGCCAAGCUCCUGACAUUGAAACGCGUUCCAGCCUGACUGUGUCACAUCUGAGCCCGUCUUUGACUAGUGUUGCUGUGGACAUGGUGGCCAGUUCCACAAAACAAAGCUUUGUUCCUCCCAGAAUGGUUCAGUUAGAUUUUGGUCUUGUUGAACCCACAGACCGUAUUAGGCAGACAAGCCAUACAACUGCUACUUCUGUACCUGCUGACUCAUCUGCUGUUCGCCUCAACCAGGCAAGUCUGAGCCAAGUAAGCCAGUCCCCAGCGAGUCCUUGCCACGAUAAUCCAACGGGAAGCCCCUUGUAUCAAAGACUGGCCACCACUGUUGGUGAUCCUUCCGCUCUCCCUAGUCUAAGCUGUGUGAGCCUUGUCCAUUCAAGUCCCACUCAAGAUUACACUGCGAUGCCUAGCUCCAGCCACAUCAGUAAACUCCCCCCCACCAUCUUCCCCUUCACAAGUUAG